GAUGAACGCUGGCGGCGUGCCUAAUACAUGCAAGUCGAGCGAACGGACGAGAAGCUUGCUUCUCUGAUGUUAGCGGCGGACGGGUGAGUAACACGUGGAUAACCUACCUAUAAGACUGGGAUAACUUCGGGAAACCGGAGCUAAUACCGGAUAAUAUUUUGAACCGCAUGGUUCAAAAGUGAAAGACGGUCUUGCUGUCACUUAUAGAUGGAUCCGCGCUGCAUUAGCUAGUUGGUAAGGUAACGGCUUACCAAGGCGACGAUGCAUAGCCGACCUGAGAGGGUGAUCGGCCACACUGGAACUGAGACACGGUCCAGACUCCUACGGGAGGCAGCAGUAGGGAAUCUUCCGCAAUGGGCGAAAGCCUGACGGAGCAACGCCGCGUGAGUGAUGAAGGCCUUCGGAUCGUAAAACUCUGUUAUUAGGGAAGAACAUAUGUGUAAGUAACUGUGCACAUCUUGACGGUACCUAAUCAGAAAGCCACGGCUAACUACGUG
rnacentral:rRNA from 1 species